rnacentral:rRNA from 1 species
AGUGAACGCUGGCGGUAGGCCUAACACAUGCAAGUCGAACGGCAGCACAGAGGAGCUUGCUCCUUGGGUGGCGAGUGGCGGACGGGUGAGGAAUACAUCGGAAUCUACUCUGUCGUGGGGGAUAACGUAGGGAAACUUACGCUAAUACCCCAUACGACCUACGGGUGAAAGCAGGGGAUCUUCGGACCUUGCGCGAUUGAAUGAGCCGGUGUCGGAUUAGCUAGUUGGCGGGGUAAAGGCCAACCAAGGCGACGAUCCGUAGCUGGUCUGAGAGGAUGAUCAGCCACACUGGAACUGAGACACGGUCCAGACUCCUACGGGAGGCAGCAGUGGGGAAUAUUGGACAAUGGGCGCAAGCCUGAUCCAGCCAUACCGCGUGGGUGAAGAAGGCCUUCGGGUUGUAAAGCCCUUUUGUUGGGAAAGAAAUCCAUCUGGUUAAUACCCGGGUGGGAUGACGGUACCCAAAGAAUAAGCACCGGCUAACUUCGUGCCAGCAGCCGCGGUAA